rnacentral:rRNA from 1 species
CCUACGGGCGGCAGCAGUAGGGAAUCUUCCACAAUGGGCGAAAGCCUGAUGGAGCAACGCCGCGUGGGUGAAGAAGGUCUUCGGAUCGUAAAACCCUGUUGUUAGAGAAGAAAGUGCGUGAGAGUAACUGUUCACGUUUCGACGGUAUCUAACCAGAAAGCCACGGCUAACUACGUGCCAGCAGCCGCGGUAAUACGUAGGUGGCAAGCGUUAUCCGGAUUUAUUGGGCGUAAAGGGAACGCAGGCGGUCUUUUAAGUCUGAUGUGAAAGCCUUCGGCUUAACCGGAGUAGUGCAUUGGAAACUGGCAGACUUGAGUUGGCGAGAAGUACGCGGAAUGCGCGGUGUAGCGGUGAAAUGCAUAGAUAUCGCGCAGAACUCCGAUUGCGAAGGCAGCGUACCGGCGCCAGACUGACGCUGAGGCACGAAAGCGUGGGGAUCGAACAGGAUUAGAUACCCCUGUAGUC